CAUAGCAGCACAUGAGAAAGUACUUCUCCAACUACUGGCUUCCAGCCGUAAUAUCGAACAACCUCAUCCCAGCCGACGAAAGGAGACAGAUGGGUAUGCCAGAUAAACAUCAAAUUGGCAAAAUAUACUCGACAUCUCUGCUGAUGAAAGUCCACAAAAGAUUGGGCGGGCGAUUCGUCCUUACCUUCCCGAUGUUUCUGCGUCACGUCGUCUACACGCACCAGCAUAACAUCGUCGAUAACCACUGGAAGCCGAUCGACUGGAUCUGCUCUCCGUGUCUCCUCCAUUACAACUUCGUGGUGAAACUCGAAACUAUGACCGAGGACCUCGACUACGUGUUCCGUAAGCUCGACAUUCCCUCCGAGCCCUCCAUUAAGAAAAACAAGGAACGGUCUGUGGCGAGCCC